ACAGAAAUCCUAGCUCCUCUUGACAACCAGGGUCAAUUAUCCUGCCAAUGUGGUAACUUCUUUCUUUGCUUGCUUGGCCACUAUUAUGAGAAGCACAAAAAAAUAAAAUUAGCUGGGCAUGCUGGUGGGCACCUGUAGUCCCAGCUACUUGGGAGACUGAGGCAUGAGAAUUGCUUGAACCUGGGAUGCUGAGGUUGCAGUGAGCCGAGAUGGUGUCACUGCACUCCAGCCUGGGUGACACAGUGAGACUCCAUCUCAAAAAAAAAAAAAAAUUAAAAAAAGAAAAACAAGACAUACAAAUGGCCAAUAUAUGAAAAAUGCUCAGCCAGGCAUGGUGGCUCAUGCCUGUAAUCCCAGAACUUGGGAGGCCAAGGUGGGUGGAUCACCUAAGGUCUGGAGUUCGAGACCAGCCUGGCCAACAUGGUGAAAUCCCAUCUCUUCUAAAAACACAAAAAAUUAGCCAGGUAUGGUGAAGGGCGCCUGUAAUCCCAGCUACUUGGGAGCCUGAGGCAGGAGAAUCACUUGAACCUGUGGGGUGGAGGUUGCAAUGAGCCGAGAUCAUGCCAUUGCACUCUAGCAUGGGCAACAAGGGCAAAACUCCAUCUCAAAAAAGAAAAAAGAAAAGAAAAAUGCUCAACAGCACUAAUCAUCAAAGAUAUGCAAAUCAAAACCACAAUGACAUAUCAUUUCACCCCAGUUAAACUGGCUUUUAUCAAAAACACAAAGAAUAACAAAUGUUGACAAAGAUGCAGUUAUAUUCCCACCAACACUCAUACACUGUUGGUGGGAAUGUAAGUAGUACAGCUGUUACUGAAAACGGUAUGGAGGCUCCUCAAAAAACUAAAAAUACGACUAACACAUGAUCCAACAAUCCCACUGCUGGGUAUACAUCCAAAAACAUAAAGGAAAUCAAUAUAC
rnacentral:lncRNA from 1 species